rnacentral:piRNA from 1 species
UUUUGUUUUUAUGUGGGUUCUGAUUACCAA